AGUGAACGCUGACGGCGUGCCUAACACAUGCAAGUCGCACGAUGAUGGAUGAGCUUGCUCAUCCUGAUUAGUGGCGCACGGGUGAGUAUACCAUAGAUAAUGUACCCCUUAGUUCGGGAUAGCCACUGGAAACGGUGAUUAAUACCGGAUACUCCUUCUUGCCAUAAGGUAAGUCGGGAAAGUUUUUUCGCUAAGGGAUCAGUCUAUGUCCUAUCAGGUAGUUGGUGAAGUAACGGCUCACCAAGCCUAUGACGGGUAUCUGGUUUGAGAAGAUGAUCAGGCAGACUGGGAGUGAGACACGGUCCAGACUGCUACGGAGGGCAGCGAUGAGGAAUAUUGCACAAUGGAGGAAAGUCUGAUGCAGCAACGCCGCGUGGAGGAUGACGAAUUGCGGUGUGUAAACUCCUUUUAAGAGGGAAGAUUAUGACGGUACGUCUUGAAUAAGCACCGGCUAACUGCGUGCCAGCAGCCGCAGUAA
rnacentral:rRNA from 1 species